GCGCAAAGAAGCUUUAAGCUUUGAGCUUUCAGCUUAAAAGAGGGGCUUGUAGCUCAGGUGGUUAGAGCGCUACACUGAUAAUGUAGAGGUCCGUGGUUCGAGUCCACGCAGGCCCACUUUGAGAGGUAAUCAGUAAACGGUAAACGGUAAUCAGUAAAUGGUGCCAUUUAGCGGACUGAAGCAAAACUCUUAAGAUAGUGAAGGGAAAGGAUAAGAAGCAGGCAUUGGGUAGAGCACCUACCGAUUACUGUUUACCGACUACCGCUUACUAAAAAAGAAGGGGGAUUAGCUCAGCUGGCUAGAGCGCCUGCUUUGCAAGCAGGAGGUCGUCGGUUCGACUCCGACAUUCUCCACUGAAAGAAGCUGCAAGCUUCUGGCUUCUAGCUACGAGAGAGGAGCAACAGAGAGGAGCAACAAAGAAAAAGAGACUGCGAACUAGGAGAGUUCGACAGAAGAUUGAAAGAAUUGAUACAAUUGGUUGAAAGUUGACAAGCCACGCCAGGCGUAUAGCACAAGUGAAAGCUUGAAGCUAGAAGCUGGCAGCUUGAAGCUAUUAAAUCACAUUGCCUCCCCCUGUAGGUCGGGCCAUCAAGAUAAGCCAUCUUAGGUCACACGACGGGAAUAAGGGAGAGCAAAGGAGUUCAUUGACAUGCUGAUGAAAGAGUAGUAAUAGUGGCGAUGUGGAGUUGAAAGACUUUGC
rnacentral:tRNA from 1 species